rnacentral:misc_RNA from 1 species
GAUGUCUUCUGCGAGCGGU